rnacentral:hammerhead_ribozyme from 1 species
AUCCAGCUGACGAGUCCUAAAUAGGACGAAACGCGCGUUUCUGGAU